rnacentral:misc_RNA from 1 species
AAGACUAUAGACCUGCGGAGUACCUGCGGAGGGAUCAUUAAUGAAUGAUCAUCCUUGAUCUUCUUACCCUCAAACCACUGUGGAACACAAUAUGUGCUUCGGCGCCUAUGGGCGUCGCUUUUAUGCUCCAACAAUGUCUUUUUUGUCUGAAGAAUUAAAUGUCAAAACUUUUAGCAAUGGAUCUCU